GGUGUUCAGAGCCUGGGGAUUCCUGGCUCUCAGCCCUCUGAACACACAGGCUUUAGAGCAGGGUUUGCACUAAUAUAAUAUCACCUGUAUUUUUCACAUGACUAGCUUUUUGUUCAUUUUUGUUUUGGCUUGAUCUUAUGUUUGCUCCAUUUAGAAACUACUUCCUGUUUUGGAAUUAAACAAAUCCUACUGCUGGCUUGAUUACAGAAUUUUAAAGAGGGACGAGUGGCAGUGUGCAGGUUUUGUGUGUUAAUUGCAUGACAACUGAACAUAACUAGGGCCUAUGUUAAUCACAAAUACUGACCUUGAGGGAGAAAGUAUCAAGGUUUGUUUUUUGGGGGAGAUCUUCCUGCAGCACUCACUGGUAGCUGUUAUGCAAUGAAACCCCUCUUGUUGAGGGGGUUACCUGGCCAUCCAACUCCAGUGCAAAUGCCACAGUUUGCAGCAGUUUUGGGGAAGUGUUGCCAGAUGUUGAGCUAGGCAGCUGACCCACUGCAGUGCUUUCAGAAGAACACUGCAAGGUGUACAUGAUGUUGCAAUGGUGACAGCCAGAUCCGCACACAAACUACGAGCUAAAGCAGGGAGGACUAGAGCCAGCUGACUACACCUGGACUAAAGUGGGUGCAAGAGCUGUAAGACCAGAAAGACAAGCUAUAGGAGAGCUGCAGAUGGAAGGGUUGGCACGCCAGGGAAGGUACCAGGGCCAGGAAGUAAAGUCUGGGCACUCUGAGAAGUUUAUGCCUGUUUCAAUGGACCCUGGAGCAAGGGGGGUGACAAGCCAUGUGAAGUGGAGACUGAGUGACUGACUGGCAUCCAGCCAUUGAGAGACAUUUUUUGGCACUCAUUUAAAGAGACUCCAAGGCAUGAGAAUGAGCUGCUUUUCUGGUCGACAUGGAGGGGGUAACCUUUCUUUUUUGUGCAGCAGUGUAAGGGGUGUCCCUGAAGCUUUUGAGAGCGAAGAGACACAUUCCAUUUGUUGAGCAAUGCAAAGACAUGUAAGCUCUGGGGCAUGUGACCUACUGAAUGUGUUGGAGGCUUUCCAAACAAAAUGACAGGAAAACAGAGCUAAAAUUCAUGGAAUGUUGAAAACCACAGCUUCAGCUCUCCUAAGUCACCAGCAAUAUAAUGAAGUGAACAAAACUACUACUGUAGCAGUCUGCUACAAGGGCAACAGAAUGAAAGGUGACGACUGUCUCUUACACUCAGCCCAGACAUUAUGCAGCUGGAAUGGAUUUUAGAAGUUGCUAUCUCCUGCCCAUGACUGCUUCCAAUCUCUACAAGGGAUGCUGUGGUGGACAGACAUCUCUGUGCCAAAGAACAGCAACAGAUGGAUGUUAAUAAAUUAGCUUACAACUGCCCUUUUGCUCCAGAUGAUCAAGUUUGCAGAGGAGUUCUGAACCCAGCCAAAUCCUCUGACAAGACCAAACAACAAAUAUAGUUGCAAACUCAAGCUGCAGAAUUGUAGGCCGGAGGACUAGGGAAUGAAACUGGAUCUUCUGGCAAUGUUCAGUGAAGUUCUGCUAAUGUGGAUUGGGUCAAACAUUUAAGUGUGGCUACUUUGAAAAGGGACUCUGUAAAAAUGGCAUUGAGGGCUCCAUUCUCCAUAUCAAGUGUUCUCAAUUUACAAGUAAAAAGAUAUUUUUCUCACACCCUAGAAACUCAGUUGGGCAGAGAUCUGAGCUGCAUUCUUUGCUUCUUGUGCACUAUCAAAAGUAAUAAUAUGCUCUGAAUGCCAAAUUAGGUUUUUGGCACAGUGACACCCAUGCAGUCUCAUCGCCUUCAGGAGUUUAUUUGCAUCAGUGCUUCGAACUAGAUGAUAGUGCUGAGAAGGAAGAGAAUUCAGCUCACUUCUUUUUGGCGCUGCAAGAGGUUUUGAUUUUGGUCAUCUGCUUAUUUAAAAAUGACUCAUCUAUGUUCACUGCAAUCCAGUGUGUUAUUGUGAUUAAGUUAUAAGCAACACCCUGGGGUGUUCAGCCAUUGGGAUCACUCAAUCAUCUGAACAUUCUGACAUCACAACAGAGCCUCUAUUAAACCACCCUACUGUCACUGUGCUGUGAGCAGAGAGAGAUGGAGAACAGGUUGAGAUUAUUGAAAUGCAUAAUAAAACAAAGUGAUGUGCUUAGGAAACUUCAAUUUGUGAGAUGCAAAAUGACAGCCCUGGAGCCCAGAGUAAUCCAUUAAAGAUAGUCACACUCUGCCCCAACAGUACGCCUUAAGUCUAUGGGGGAAAAGAGGAACCUGUUGGUAGUCCAGUCUACAUAUGGACCUUUUCCAGCUGCCAGCAAGGAUGCUUUUAACAGUUUCUGAUUCCUGACAACAGUCAACCGAAGUUAAUAUGAUUUAAGUGUUGUCCUGAAUCAGAGCCAUCAUGAGGACACCUGCCUCCAGGAGACAGUGGGGCUUAGUGAAUAGCAUGCUGGAUUAGGACUCAGGGGACCUGGGUUCUGCCACGGAUCCGUUGAGUGACCUUCAACAAGCCACUCCACCCGUUCCUCAGUUUCCCAUGCGUAAAACGUAAAGCACGCUGAAGUCAUAGGCAUUUUUGUUAGAACAAAAGAACUGAAGCCAGCAUCUCAUUUUAUAUGGACCAUCUUUACAAUCAGAUGUCAAAUUACCCUCAAGUUACUACUGAUCUUGGCUGGAUUUAAAUUGAUGAUCCUGAUGUGAAAGGCUGUGUGUCUCAUGAACUAUCCAAUCAUUGUCAUUUGCUAUCCCUCUUUGGCAAUGUCUCAUUUUAAGUGUUGUGGCUAUGAAGGCAACUACUUCAAUUUACAGUUCUGCCCAACAGCUUGGCAAACUUGUGCACAGUGAUAUUUCUAAAACAGAUAUCAGAUUGUAUGAAAACUCAUAAGAUUAUAUUUAUCCAAAAAUCUUUGAAGAAGCCAACUGUAUUACAAGUACCCUGCAAAUUAAACUGUACUCUCCUGCUUUGGUAUUAUUAUGCA